AAUAUAAAUCAUGACGCAGUACACGGGACAAUUAGUUCCAGUAAAACUUAAGUAUUUAUCCAAGGAAUGAUUCAUUUUGUUUCAGUGGAAGGAAGAGGUAGCAUAUAAAUACAUACGUUGAACGGUUUAUCCAACGGCUAAGAAAUUGAGAAUAACUGACAAGUAUAUAAAGCUUAAGUGGUUAUUAGUUGUGAUCUUUGAUCUUGAUUCAUUUUAUCGUGGCAAUACACUUCGCUACACAGCUUCCAUAGCAGUUUUCUACCGUCUCUCUGACAGAAGCUAUCACAUCUUUUUCCUUUUUCAACGGCUCCACGCCUAAACGAUCGCAUCAUGUCUCGACCACUCUUACUAAUUUUUCUCUUCGUUUGCGUAGUCUUUAUUUCUCAGGCUAAUCCUUUACCCCAAGAUGCGGAACAUUCCAAUUUCGACGAUUUAACGAACAAGGCAAAACAAAUUUUCGAUGAUGCGAAAGGAGCGCUCGAGAAAUCCGAGUUGAAUGAUGCCCUGGAAAAAGCGAAAUCAUUUAUUGGACAGGCUGGUGAAAAUAUCCGUAAAGAAAUAGAGAAGAUUGCGGAGAAGUUGCGUGAUUAAAUUUGGCCAACGUAAUAAUAAUUUUCUUUAUCCAUUUGCAUCUGUAAUCUCUUUUAAACUUUAAAAAUUACGUUUUUAAUCGAGAUAGUAAUUUUCUUAGAAAUUUGUAGAUUAAUCUUAUAUACAUAUAUAUAUGUAUUUUUUCGUUAUUUCUCAAAUAACACGUAAAGGUUAUAUUUGUUAUUUUGAAUUUUGUAAUUAAGUACUUAUACUUUUCUGGAAAACAAUAUUUAAUUUUGAUACAAAAUUUGAAACAAAGAAAUUAUGUACAAUAUAAGAAAGUCAAGAAUCCGUUAAUGAUUAUUAUAAUACAUAUAUAUAUAUAUAUAUCAUUUUAAUUUUUAAAAAUUUUUAGAAUAAAUCUAGUAGUAAAGAUAAUAUAAAGAUGUAUAAAGAUAUAUAAUAUGA